UUUUUCUUUUCUUUUUUUUUUUUGAGAUGGAGUUUUACUCUUGUCUUCUAGGCUGGAGUGCAGUGGCGCGAUCUCGGCUUACUGCAACCUCUGCCUCCCAGGUUCAAGUGAUUCUCCUGCCUCACCCUCCCAAGCAGCUGAGACUACAGACAGGUACUGCCAUGCUUGGCUAAUUUUUUGUAUUUUUAGUAGAGAUGGAGUUUCACCAUGUCGGCCAGGCUGGUCUUGAACUCCUGACCUCAGGUGAUCCGCCCACCUUAGCCUCCCAAAAUGCUGGGAUUACAGGCGUGAGCCACCGCGCCUGGCCACCUUUGAUUUUUUUCAUGCUGUGGGAUGUCCCUUUUCAUGGAUGUAAUAUCAUCUUUGCAGGGAUAUAAUAUAAUUUAAUUUUCUAGUGCCUUAUUGAUGGACGUUUGCUUUUUUAUUUUUUUUCAUUUUUCUGCUGUUACAGACCACACAGCAAUGCGUGUGCCUCCUCCCGCCCUGGGGACUCUUUCUGUGGGAGAGGUGCCUAGAUUUAGAGGAACGACCACUCUCCAUUUGUAAUGACUCUCCCUAACCUGGAAGCCCUUCAGCUCCCACUCCAGAGUGGUUGGUGGUGGUAACACGCCAGGCCUGGGGAAGCAGGAGUGGGAAGGUGUGAGAGGUGGGGGAGUGUGGUUGUCAACUGUUCCGAUUUUCCACCGGGAUCUUGGUCACUUUCCCAGUUGUCACUCGGCCCACAAACUAGGAUGUGAGCAGCAUAUUGAGAAUCUGCAGAGAUGUUCACGUCUGCCCAGCAUAUGGACGUCCUUCUGGGCUGUGAAGUGGCAUCCUGUGGGCAACUCCCACCCGCCGACAACCAGUUGCGAGCUGUGCCCAGGCACAGAGGGACCUGACUUUCCCUGUUUCUGCAGAUUUUUCAGGGUUUCAGGGUUUCAGGGAGGGAGGGGGCAGGUUGGGACCUGUUGGGGAUCUGGGCACUUUCUCAUGUUCCUUGAGCUUCAAGUCAUAGAAGGAGCGGGGUGGGAGCUGAGAAUGUACCUUCCCAAGGCCACCGGCAGAACCAGCAGGCCCUUUGCUCGGGGAUGAGCUCCCUCUGAGGGGUGGGGACAGUAAAGCGGACAGAAGUCCCUGUUCUGCAGGAUGGAAACUGGCUCCCCUCCAUUGUACAGGCCGGCUCUGGGGAUUUGGGCAGCAGAUUUGGGGUUGACAGCAGAAUGACAUGAUCACCGCUUGACCUUGGCCAGGAUGCCAGCUCACUUUCUCGCUUACUUCUGCAAGUUCUUUGUUCUGAGGGUGAGUCACCCAGGUCCUGCCCUCCGUGCCUGUCUGCCCUCUCCCACUCUCCCUGCCCUGAGCUUGUUCCCACUUGUAGAUUUGGCAGGUCACUGCCAAGGCCCCUCUGCCCCCAACAUGGCCAGUGCCCUAAGGGUGGGUUGUACAGAGAGGAGCUGGUGUGGUCAGUAGAUUUGAAUCAGGGACAGCUCGGCUGCUGAAGGCUGAGGGGACCUUGCAGGGCCUUGUGCACACAGGGAGGGGGUAGAGAAGGCAACCAGGGGCUCCUUCAGGCCUUAAUGGUCUGCGGCCCAGUGAUGCUGUGCCC
rnacentral:lncRNA from 1 species